GCAGCCAGGCCAUUAUCCAGGCCGUUGGUGCGCAUGUGCUUUCUAGCCUUCUGGAGCCCUGUGCGCAGGAGCGUGGUGAGCGCCGGCCGUUAGGAGUGCGUGCAUGCUAGGGGCUUACGAAGGCUGGUGGUGCAGAGGCUCCCAGGCCAGGUCUUUUUGUCGGUGGUGAGGGACGCUCACUCUCACUCCGCGUGCUGUCUCCCCGUCUGUGUGCUGUGAUCUCCUCUGUGAGAGAAGGGCCAGGAUGUUCGAGGUCCUGGUGCUGAAGAUUGAAGAUCCAGGUUGCUUCUGGGUAAUUAUAAAAGGAUGUAGUCAUUUUUUAGAACAAGAAGUUGACUACCAAAAACUAAACACUGCCAUGAAUGACUUCUAUAACAGCAUGUGUCAGGACGUAGAAAUGAAACCAUUAAUGCUGGAAGAAGGGCAGGUGUGUGUGGUGUACUGCCAGGAGCUGAAGUGCUGGUGCAGGGCUCUGAUUAAGUCCAUCAUCUCUUCUGCAGACCAUUACCUGGCAGAGUGUUUCCUGGUCGAUUUUGCCAAGUAUAUUCCAGUAAAAUCUAAAAACAUCCGAGUUGCAGUAGAGUCUUUUAUGCAGCUUCCUUACAGAGCAAAAAAAUUCAGACUUUACGGUACAAAGCCUGUGACAUUGCACAUUGACUUCUGUGAAGACAAUGCUGAGAUUGUACCUGCCACAAAAUGGGACAGUGCAGCCAUCCAGUACUUUCAGAACCUUCUAAGAGCAACUACCCAAGUGGAAGCAAAACUAUGUGCGGUGGAAGAAGAUACUUUUGAGGUUUACCUUUAUGCAACAAUAAAAAAUGAAAAAGUUUGUGUUAAUGAUGACCUAGUUGCAAAGAAUUUUGCUUAUUAUGUGUCACCAAUGGGGAAUAAAAACCUCAAUCCUUUGGAGAAACCCAGGCAGAGUCUCAAUUCGGUGACCUGCUCCAGUAAGCUCAGCCCAUCACUUACUCUGUGGCCAAUGCUUCUACAAGGAAAAGACUAUCACAGAAUGGAAAAUAAAGCUCUAAACUAUAAGGAUUCCUUGACAGACUCGCCUAAAAUGAUGCUUGAGAAGCAGCAGCAGAGCCUCCCUUUAAAGCACACGGAGAAGUGUACUGAAUCUUCUGUGUACUGGCCAACCAAAAGAGGCAUAACCAUAUAUGCUGAUCCAGAUGUUCCAUCAGUAAGUGGGUCUAGCCAGAGGCCGAAUGAGAAGCCACUGCGGUUGACUGAAAAGAAAGACUGUGACGAGAAGAACGGCUGUGUAAAAUUACUGCAGUUUCUAAAUCCUGAUCCUUUGAGAGCUGAUGGGACCUCAGACCUGCACCAGUUGCAGAAGGUGAAGCUGGGCACACUGCAGCCUGGGGUGGUGCUCCGGAACAGGAUCGAGCCCUGCCUAACCCUGGAGAAAUCACCUCUGUCGGCAGACCUGAAGAAGGCUCUUCAAAGAAACAAGUUCCCGGGACCCAGCCACACUGCAUCUUACUCCUGGCCUCCUAUUGCACGUGGCUGUGAUAUGGUUGUCAUUUCUCACUGUGGGAAUGACCCCUUGUUGUACUUGCCACCGCUGCUUACGAUUUUGCAGAUGGGGGGCUGCUACAAGUCAUUACCAAGUAGAAAUGGACCUCUUGCAGUCAUCGUGUGUCCUGGGUGGAAAAAGGCUCAGUUUAUUUUUGAGUUAUUGGGAGACUAUAGCAUGUCCUCCAGGCCUCUUCAUCCUGUGUUAUUAACAAUUGGACUUCACAAAGAUGAAGCCAAAAAUAUGAAGCUUCCAAGGGGGUGUGAUGUGAUUGUCACAACGCCACACAGCCUUUUGAGACUUCUUACGUACCGAAGCUUGUUAUUCCUUAGACUCUGCCACCUGGUUCUGGAUGAAGUGCACAUGCUGUUCUUUGAAGCUAAUGAGCAAAUGUUUGCCAUAUUAGAUAACUUUAAAAAAAACGUUGAAGUGGAGGAGCGGGAGUCUGCACCACACCAGAUUGUAGCCGUGGGUGUUCACUGGAACAAACACAUAGACCAUCUAGUCAGAGAGUUCAUGAAGGACCCCUGCGUCGUGAUCACCGCCCUGGAGGAGGCUGCCCUCUAUGGCAGUGUCCAGCAGGUAGUGCAUCUGUGCCUGGAGUGUGAGAAGACCUCUACUUUACUCCAAGUUCUUGACUUUGUUCCAAGUCAGGCCCAGAAGACCUUGAUCUUUACCUGUUCUGUAGCAGAGACAGAGACUGUGUGUAAGGUAGUAGAAAGCAAUUCAAUAUUUUGCUUGAAAAUGCAUAAAGAAAUGGCUUUUAAUUUAAAAAGUAUUUUGGAGCAGUGGAAGAAGAAGUUAAGUCCUGGCUCCCACAUUGUGUUAACCUUAACAGACGACUGCAUACCACUCCUGGCCAUCACCGAUGCCACGUGCGUCGUCCACUUCAGCUUUCCUUCCUCACCAAAAGUAUUGGGUGGACGCCUGUAUUGCAUGUCUGAUCAUUUUCAGAGUUUAACUGAACAGGGUUCACCUGCAGAGCAGGGAGAUAAGAAAACUAAAUCUGUCUUGCUGCUGACGGAGAGGAAUGCAAGCCAUGCUGUUGGUAUCCUGAGAUACUUGGAGCGAGCAGAUGCCAAAAUUCCAUCAGAGCUGUAUGAGUUUACAGCAGGGGUCCUGGAAGCCAAAGAAGAUAAGAAGGCCAGAAGACCUCUUUGUCCAUAUCUUAAAGCUUUUGGCUUUUGCAAAGACAAAAGGAUCUGUCCUGACCGGCACCACAUUAAUCCAGAAAUGGACAUCCCAAGGAAAUUAUCCAAUAAAACACUACCAGUGUUUGGACACAUUAGGGUAAUACCUUUUUACAUUUCAAAUGCAACCAAUUACUUUGGUCGUAUAAUUGAUAAACAUGUGGAUCUUUAUGAAACUCUUAAUGCAGAAAUGAAUGAAUAUUUUAAGGAGUCCAGUAAUAAAACAUCUGCUGAAAAGGUGGAGAAUUUGGGGUUGUAUGGAUUAGAAGAAAAAACACUUUUCCAGAGGGUUCAGGUGUUGGAGGUGAGCCAGAAGGAAGACACCUGGGGUUUGGGGAGUAUCCUGGUGAAACUCAUAGAUGAAGGCAGGACCAAGCUCAUCACAAGAGACCAGCUGCUGCUGCUCCCUGAGAAAUUCCACACUCUGCCCCCUCAGGCUGUGGAGUUCAUUGUUUGUAGGGUUAAGCCAGCUGACAGUGAAAUUGAAUGGAACCCAAAGGUUACUAGAUACAUUCAUCAUAAAAUUGUUGGAAAAAUGCAUGAUGCUAAAGUAGUACUGGCUUUGGGAAAUACCCUUUGGAUUGAUCCAAUGGUACAUGUUACAAAACUUUCAAAUCUAAAAACUUCUAUCAUUGAUUAUAAUGUUCGAGCUGAAAUUUUAUCCAUGGGAAUGGGUAUUGAUAAUUCAGAACACCUAGAACAACUGAAGAAACUAUACAAAGAAGCUAAACUGCCAGCCUUUGAGGACCUUCCGUGCCAGACCUCGAUACCUACAACAGUAGAAGACACCGUGUGUUUGCAGGGCACUCAGCAAGGAGAUGGAGGUACAGAAAGAGGAGCUGGUUCCCAGGAGGACUCAGAUAACCAAAAGCCUGGAGUUUUAUCUGAAGACAUUGGCAGCGAGACCAUUAGCAGCGCUCCACAGCCACAUGGAAGAAGGUAGCUUUCACCCACAAAUAAAGUGGUUCCAAAAAGAUGAUGUGGUCAUCUUAAAGAUAAAAAUAAGGAAUGUCAAAGACUAUAAGUGUAAAUUCUUUACAGAUAGAGUCAUCUUCAGUGCCUGGGUAGGAGACAAGUUUUACUUGGCUGAUCUGGAACUGCAAGGUGACAUAAGGAAAGAUGACUGCAAAUGCAUAAUUAAGGAUGAUGAACCUCUAAUAACACUUGCAAAAGAGAAACAGGAGUGCUGGUGUGGCCUCCUCAAGCAGAGGAAUCCUAAUGUGGCUUUUGACUUUGACCACUGGGAGGAGUGUGAGGAGGACAGCCCUUUCUCCAAGGUUGUAAAUUCUAAAAACCUGUCCUGCAAAGUGGCAGCGUUGGCUGAGAGCAGCGGUUCCUCUUCAGACACUACUGAUGGGAGUGAGAGUGAAUGAGACCGUGAGUGAACCAACGCCAUGGUGAGAAGACAGAACUGGACACAUAAGUCAUGGCUAACUCCUUCACCUGGAGAGUGACUUGUCACUGUCAUUGUGUGGCACUGCCAUAGAUGACAAUGAGAGAUUCUUAAUUGACUUAAAGUGGGUAGACAUGCCAGGUGAUAGGUUAUGAUGAGAUUGUCAAAGCAAAGUCCAGGAAGGGUCUGCAAUCAGGGACACAGAAAGUUAGAGACAUUUUUUUGGUUUGGUUUUUUUGUUUUGUUUUUCUUUUUUUUUUUUUUUUUUUCGAGACAAGGUUUCUUUGUGUAGCCCUGCUGUCCUGGAACUCAUUCUGUAGACCAUGCUGGCCUCGAACUCAGAAAUCCACCUGCCUCUGCCUCCCAGAUGCUAGGAUUAAAGGCGCACGCCACCAUUGCCCCGAAAGUUAGAGACAUUUUAAAUUCCAACAUUCAAGAGAUUGAGGCAGGAGGAUUGCAAGUUUGAGGGCAGUCUGGCCUUUAUAGGGAGGUUCUGUUUCCAAAAAUGUCUCUUCAAGCAAAGGUCCAACGUAAGCCACACUCGUGCAGUGUGUGCUCUCAGUGACUCUCCGCUCAUCCUGACUACUCCAUGUAGAAACGGAGGGUGACGGAGGGCGAGCAGCCCUGCCUGACAUUAGGUAGUAGAUUGUUCGUAUAAGGAGUUAGUUUACUCAUUUGCCAUGUAGACCUGAGUGUGACACUGCUCAAAACUUGUCUCACACACAGAAACUGAAGUUUCCAUCUUACACUUUUAAAAACCCAGCCCUUCUUGCCAGCCCCUUUCACCAUGGGACCUAAAUGCAUCUACUGCUGCCACACAAAUACCCCCUAAAUUUUUCCUGGCUUUGAUAGCUUCUAAGAGAUGCAAAUUGACUUCUUUUCCCAAAGGCAAGAUAGACUCACUGGGACCAAAUGACUUACAGGCCGCUGGGCAGAACUUUCUUUCAGAAAUGCUAACAUAGUGCUUGUUGUUAACCUUCAGAGCACCCAGAUGAGGUGAGUCCUGAGAACACUAAAGGCAACUUUGAAUGCAGCUGUAACACCCUGGCUUGGGGAAGGGGUGUGUGCAGUUAUCAUUUAAAUGCCACUGAAAUAAUUGGGAGGGUGAGCCUCUGGGAACUUCACAACCCUGUGUCUUAGCAUUUCUGCAUCAGCUUCCCUAGAAGUGAGAAGGGGCCUGGAUGAGUCAGCGCUGCUGAGUGACUACCCCAAGCACUUGCUCCUCUUCAUAUCAGAAAGUAUGGAUAUCCCAGGAUGUGCCCAUGCCUAUAAUUCCAGCUUUUGAGAGGUGGAGACAGGAGGAUCUAGAAGUGUCAGGCCAGCGUGGGCUACAUAAGAACCAGUGUCAAAAAAACUGAAGAAAAAAAUAAAAAGAAACACAGAUGUCAAGACUUCUGUUACUCCAGGAGUGAGCCACUGCAGAGUUCAGGCUCUCUGUGCCAGGAGCAGGGCUGGGCCCACACUGGUUCUUGGUUUUCUUAUCUGUAAAAUAAGAUCUGAGCACAUGAAGCCCAAGAUAGUCCAGGGUGUUGUGGGGUGGACACCUGGCUUUCACAGUGACUGUGAGAAGGAUUAAACCUGUGCCAGUGGUCAGAGACUGCCCAGCUUGGGCAGCUACCAGGAGGACAUCCUUUUUGCUGUUAUGACUCUCAGGUUGAUUGGCUGGUAUCAGAGUGGCCAUAAUACAAAGUGGCUCUUGAGACAGCAGAAAGCAUGGUGUCUUGCUGGAACAAUUCAGCUGGGAGGCUGGGCGUGGCCAGUGUCCAUUUGUACAAAUGCAGGUCCCCCCAGCUGGUGAAGGGCUGUGGUGGCACUGAACACUGAGUGCAAGUGGCAGGCUGUCCCAGAAGACCCAAGGAAAUGGGACACAGCUCUGUUUACACCAUUUUUUUCAGGUGGUCAGAUUUUCCAAUACUUAAACCUCUGAGCAAUAUCUUGUAGCACAUGGGAGACUGGCUAUGCAAACAUCAGCUAUUGUUUUCCUAUAUUAUAUUAAACUGUGCUGAUUGAGGUAGAUUUCUGAAAUGUGACAUGGAAAUGCUUGAGGAGUUUGUGCUCUAGAAUUGCUCCCAUAUAAUACGAACGUCUUGUCUUUGCAGUGGAUCAUCAAUAAAGCACCAGUGUAAUGUUGGCCACA